AAGAUUUUAAGUUAAAGAAACUAAUUGCCUUCAAAGCUUUAAAUAUAAAAUAUUUUUAAAUCUUA
rnacentral:tRNA from 1 species